rnacentral:rRNA from 1 species
AUUGAACGCUGGCGGCAGGCCUAACACAUGCAAGUCGAGCGAGCGGCGGACGGGUAAGUAAUGCCUAGGAAUCUGCCUGGUAGUGGGGGAUAACUACUGGAAACGGUGGCUAAUACCGCAUACUAUCGGAUGAACCCAUAUGGGAUUAGCUAUUAGGUGUGGUAAAGGCUAACCUAGGCGACGAUCUCUAGCUGGUCUGAGAGGAUGAUCAGCAACACUGGGACUGAGACACGGCACAGACUCCUACGGGAGGCAGAAGUGGGGAAUAUUGCACAAUGUGCGCAAGCGUGAUGCAGCCAUGCCGCGUGUAUGAAGAAGGCCUUAGGGUUGUAAAGUACUUUCAGCGGGGAGGCGUUACCCGAAGAAGAAGCACCGGCUAACUCCGUGCCAGCAGCCGCGGUAAUUC